rnacentral:rRNA from 1 species
AACGAACGCUGGCGGCAGGCCUAACACAUGCAAGUCGAGCGCGCCCUUCGGGGUGAGCGGCGGACGGGUGAGUAACGCGUGGGAACGUGCCCUUUUUUCGGAAUAGCCUCGGGAAAAUGAGAGGAAUACCGGAUAAGCCCCUUGGGGGGAAGAUUUAUCGGAAAAGGAUCGGCCCGCGUUGGAUUAGGUAGUUGGUGGGGUAAUGGCCUACCAAGCCGACGAUCCAUAGCUGGUUUGAGAGGAUGAUCAGCCACACUGGGACUGAGACACGGCCCAGACUCCUACGGGAGGCAGCAGUGGGGAAUCUUAGACAAUGGGGGCAACCCUGAUCUAGCCAUGCCGCGUGAGUGAUGAAGGCCUUAGGGUUGUAAAGCUCUUUCAGCUGGGAAGAUAAUGACGGUACCAGCAGAAGAAGCCCCGGCUAACUCCGUG